GGGUAUAGCUCAGUGGUAGAAUGUGUGCCUAGCAUCCACAAGGCCCUGGGUUCCAUUCCCAGUACUUCCA
rnacentral:tRNA from 1 species